CUACUAGAAAUUUGGCCUACGGCCACGCUAAAAUUGUCCACAGCUCAGAAACUGUGGCCACAUAUAUGAUUUAGCCAUGAUUAUCAAAGCGUAGACGUAUGUUAUAGAAAUAUUGAAUCCGGAGUGUAAAACUGUGGCCUGUAUAGCGGUAGAUAUUUUAAGCCGCAACUAAGAAACCGAGGCCUAUAAUUUUCAGUUCAAACUGUGGCCAAAACCCAAAAAAAAAACCCUCCAAAAGUUCCCUCCUUUUUUUUUAGUUUCCCUCUAUCUUUUAAUAUUUUCUUUUCUAUUUUUUUUAAUUAAAAAAAAGAAAAAAAAUGAAAAAACAAAGGCAUUGAAACGAGCCAUAUGAACAAAAACACUCACACUAUCUGAAAACUCCAUCUCCCAAAACUAUCUGAAAACUCUUCGCCGUUGCGCCGCUGCUGCCACCUCCAUCGCUUACAGUUGAGGUACCAAAGCUUUUGGAGGCUUCCUCUAUUCAUCUGCGUACGAUUAUCUGGCUUCUGGAGGCUAAUACGGGGAGGAAUAUUCUUGAAACAGAUCAUCCAGAAGGUCCUUUUGGCACUAAGGUCAGUGUUCUAACUUGUUUCUGAGCUCACUUAGAUUUGUGUUUGCUGCUGCUUUCCUCUGUGUUGGAUUAGAUCUUGCUAGAGUUGAUUUUGACAUGUACUUUGUAGCGGAAUGAUUUGUGUUUGAUGACCUUUAAGUAGAAAAGUGUUUUUUUGGCAAAACUAAUCUUGCUAGAAUGAUAUAACUGAUUCUUGGCUUGGGAUUUGGGACUAACUAGUAACUACUUUCAAUCCACAAUACAUAAUUUUA